rnacentral:rRNA from 1 species
GAUGAACGCUGGCGGCGUGCCUAUCACAUGCAAGUCGAACGGAGAUUACGGACGGAAGUUUUCGGAUGGAAGCCUGUAAUUCUUAGUGGCGGACGGGUGAGUAACGCGUGGGCAACCUGCCCUAUACAGGGGGAUAGCAGCUGGAAACGGCUGGUAAGACCGCAUAAGUCGGUUAAAUCGCAUGAUUUGAUCGGGAAAUGAGCAAUCAGGUAUAGGAUGGGCCCGCGUCCGAUUAGCCAGUUGGCAGGGUAAAAGCCUACCAAAGCGACGAUCGGUAGCCGGACUGAGAGGUCGGACGGCCACAUUGGGACUGAGACACGGCCCAAACUCCUACGGGAGGCAGCAGUGGGGGAUAUUGCACAAUGGAGGAAACUCUGAUGCAGCGACGCCGCGUGAGUGAAGAAGUAUUUCGGUAUGUAAAGCUCUAUCAGCAGGGAAGAUGAUGACGGUACCUGACUAAGAAGCCCCGGCUAACUACGUG